GGCAGUUUCUGUUAUGAAAUGUAUCACUGUGCCUGGGACGUGGAGCGCCACGGUGGUAUAAACAGCACAGGGCUCUGUACAAAUACCCAGAGAAGGAAAAAAGGCAAUAUAUAUAGGAAAAGAAAGGACAUGGGUGACUGAAAUAAUUCAGGAGACAAAUGCAACAUUAUUUCUAUUUAUCCUGGAAGCACAGAGCUCACAGGGUUUCAAAAAGACAGAAGGAAAAACUUGGAAACCUUUUACUCAGUCAAGCUUUUUGAAAUCACUGAACUAUUCAAUGACUGUUUUUACCUUUCCAUGUUCGGAAGAAAAUGUGGCUCUGGAAUACCCUUUUGGGGUUGCACACAUGGGUAAGUAGGACAAAUACCUGGCUUUUUAUCUUUUGUUUUUACAACACUUUCAAAUACCAUGGGGAAAGGAGUAGUUAUUGAAGCAGCUAUUACCAGUGUGGCUAACAUAAGCUGGUGUUUGGAAGUGGUACCACUCUCACAGUUGAACCAAACAUCCAAAACAGUUCUGUCCCACAAGUCAUUUUGAUGAAAUCAAAGAAACUGGAAGAAGACGGCAGCACUGGGAAAGCAGCUUGUUUGGCAAGGAAUGUCUAUACGAAGAACAUCAGUUUGGACAUGUCCUCUAAUGAAGUCCUAUAUGAACCAAGUGCAUCCAUUUUGACACCAGAGGGGUUGUAUGAUACUAUUAAGGUGGUGAGCGUGCCAAAAGGCGCAGAGGUGAACUGCAUGGCUGAAUUCAAUGGCAGCACUAUCACAGCCAGCACAAGCUUGGCAGAAGAGAAUGCUGAAGAGCCAGAAAUGGGAAAGGGUUGCAACACCACAGACACCUCUACACAAGGUACCAAAGUGGAAAAAGCAAACAUGCUGUCUAUGGCUGUGCUGGGUUUAAGAGUCCUGCUGGCGAAAAGCAUCGCCUUGAAUACACUCAUGAGUAUCAAGUUGUUUCUUUUCUGAGACAGAGAAGAACCAAGGCAACGACAACCUGAAAACAAGCAGGAGGGAGAGUGUACCAGCAGCGCAAUGGGAUGAACAACCAGUGUCAAAUCUGCUGGCAAUAACCAUCCAGAACACAAUACAGCACCUUCCCCUUAGAUAUUUUAUGCUUUGGAAUCCUGCCUAGCUGAUUUAGUUAUUUUUAGGAGUUGUAACCACUUUUGCUAUUCCUUUUCCGUCUGUGCCUGAGGAGAGUGUAUUUUUCCUCAUUCCUUUGCUAAGUGGAAUUUGAUCUCCCCUUUGAAUAGCCUUUGAAUAGAAGCAUCUCACCUACUUCAAUAGCUUUGAAAAAUCCAAUCCUCAUUAUAGACAUAUGAUACUUUUAAAACACCUUUUACAGGCAUAUUGCAUUACUGUUUGUGAACUGAUGUAUUGCUGUUGAGAGAAUUCGGGCACAGUAGAUGCUACUUGCAGCUUUAUUGUUUUUUAGAUAGCUUUAAUAACAAUAAUUUUCUAGUGUAGCAGAGAAGACCUUGGUUGGAUCUGAAGCGAUUCACUUCAACCAGAUAAUGUUCAACCGUAGAAGCAUUUCUUUAUUAAACCUGUAUUUCUUCUGCAAAGUGUAUGGCAUGUGCAUUUUAGGUUCCUGUGGUAGUGAC
rnacentral:lncRNA from 1 species